rnacentral:rRNA from 1 species
AUGGUGUUCUCGGCCGGCCAGCUCCGGGCGCACCAGUUCCCCGCCGUGCGGUCUUCACUGGGCGGCAGCGAGGUGGCGUCGCCGGUGCUGAGCUCAUCCAUGGGCGGCACGGAGCCGGCGUCGACCGGGAGCAAGAAACGUGUCAGCUUCACGGCGGACGGCGCGGGGAAGACGGCGGCGAAGCCCGGCGGCGCGCAGAAGAAAGGCGGCGGCCUGCUGGGGUGCAUGGGGUCAGCGUGCGGGUUGUCGCGUGACGAGGUGGUGGAGCCGACCAUGAACGCUAACCGUAAGGUUGCGUGUGCUUGA